rnacentral:rRNA from 1 species
AGGGAAACCGAGUCUUAACUGGGCGUUAAGUUGCAGGGUAUAGACCCGAAACCUGGUGAUCUAGCCAUGGGCAGGUUGAAGGUUGGGUAACACUAACUGGAGGACCGAACCGACUAAUGUUGAAAAAUUAGCGGAUGACUUGUGGCUGGGGGUGAAAGGCCAAUCAAACCGGGAGAUAGCUGGUUCUCCCCGAAAGCUAUUUAGGUAGCGCCUCGUGAACUCAUCUUCGGGGGUAGAGCACUGUUUCGGCUAGGGGGUCAUCCCGACUUACCAACCCGAUGCAAACUGCGAAUACCGAAGAAUGUUAUCACGGGAGACACACGGCGGGUGCUAACGUCCGUCGUGAAGAGGGAAACAACCCAGACCGCCAGCUAAGGUCCCAAAGUCACAGUUAAGUGGGAAACGAUGUGGGAAGGCUCAGACAGCCAGGAUGUUGGCUUAGAAGCAGCCAUCAUUUAAAGAAAGCGUAAUAGCUCACUGGUCGAGUCGGCCUGCGCGGAAGAUGUAACGGGGCUAAACUGUGCACCGAAGCUGCGGCAGCGACGCUUAUGCGUUGUUGGGUAGGGGAGCGUUCUGUAAGCCUGCGAAGGUGUCCUGUGAGGGAUGCUGGAGGUAUCAGAAGUGCGAAUGCUGACAUAAGUAACGAUAA